AAAAAAAAGUGGUAUAAAGGAACUGUUCUGUCUGUAUUGUCUGGGACUGAUGGCAGUGUGAAUGCUGUUUAUGAGAUCAAAUAUGAAGGAGAGGAUGAGGCUUAUGAAAUUAACCAUUUAAUUCAAGAUUACCAGUCUGGAUCUGUUGAGUUUUGUGAUAUAUAGCCAAACUUCAGUUUAGACUAACAGGAUUAUUGGAACUUGGAAAAACAGUAGAUUUUUUUGAAACAUAGACUACUAAUUUGAAGAAUAUUGGACUGGUGAACUUUUCUUGUUGUUUGUAAAUGAUAUUUUAUAAUAGUACUCAUCACAAGGAAGAUUUUGAUGUAUAACAUGACAGUAACUAUUUUGAUCAUAUCCAAUAUUCUGGUACAACAUAUUCUCAGGAUAAUGAAUGUUACGGGUACAUAGGAUUUAUAUUUGGGUACCAGUCAACACAGAAAUACUAUGUUGCACUAUGGAGACAUAAAUAUAAUAACAUGGAUGACAGAGGAGGCACCAAAGGGGUACAAAUAAGGAGAAAACAAGGCAUUGUAUUUGAAUGGUUCCAGUUAUGGGACUCUAGGAAACUUAUCAUCAUUGGGAAUUGAAAAGAGUUUUACUGUAGAGGGUUGGAUUAAUUUACCAAUAGGAUAUUCUUCUGCUAAACUUCCAUUUGUAUGUUCCAAUUCAAGUGAUUUUUGUGUGUAUAUAGAGAAUUGGAAUUUGCAUACACAAAUAGGAAGCAGAAUUGUCAGUGGAUCAACUGUGUUACCAGCAAAUGAUUGGACACACAUAGCAAGUGUGUA